rnacentral:rRNA from 1 species
ACGCUCGACACCUACGGGAGGCAGCAGUGAGGAAUAUUGGUCAAUGGGCGCAGGCCUGAACCAGCCAAGUAGCGUGAAGGAUGACUGCCCUAUGGGUUGUAAACUUCUUUUAUAUGGGAAUAAAGUUUUCCACGUGUGGAAUUUUGUAUGUACCAUAUGAAUAAGGAUCGGCUAACUCCGUACCAGCAGCCGCGGUAAUCUGAGCGGGCUGGCAAGGC